UACGUAGGGAGCAAGCGUUGUCCGGAAUCAUUGGGCGUAAAGCGCGUGUAGGCGGUUACAUAAGUCUGUUGUGAAAGUCGGAGGCUCAACCUUCGAAAGCCGAUGGAUACUGUGUGACUUGAGUACGGAAGAGGAGAGUGGAAUUCCUGGUGUAGCGGUGAAAUGCGCAGAUAUCAGGAAGAACACCCGUGGCGAAAGCGGCUCUCUGGAACGGUACUGACGCUGAGACGCGAAAGCGUGGGGAGCGAACAGA
rnacentral:rRNA from 1 species